AUUGAACGCUGGCGGAAUGCUUUACACAUGCAAGUCGAACGGCAACACGGGGGCAACCCUGGUGGCGAGUGGCGAACGGGUGAGUAAUGUAUCGGAACGUGCCCAGUCGUGGGGGAUAACGUAGUGAAAAUUACGCUAAUACCGCAUACGAUCUAUGGAUGAAAGCGGGGGAUCGCAAGACCUCGCGCGAUUGGAGCGGCCGAUAUCAGAUUAGGUAGUUGGUGGGGUAAAGGCUCACCAAGCCGACGAUCUGUAGCUGGUCUGAGAGGACGACCAGCCACACUGGAACUGAGACACGGUCCAGACUCCUACGGGAGGCAGCAGUGGGGAAUUUUGGACAAUGGGCGAAAGCCUGAUCCAGCCAUUCCGCGUGCAGGAUGAAGGCCUUCGGGUUGUAAACUGCUUUUGUACGGAACGAAAAGGCUCUGGUUAAUACCCGGGGCUCAUGACGGUACCGUAAGAAUAAGCACCGGCUAACUACGUGCCAGCCGCCGCCGUAAAAC
rnacentral:rRNA from 1 species